GUGAUGAGCACUGAACACAGGCCAUUAACCAUGGACUUGUGGCUUAUUUGGCCUUUUCUUGUCAUUAUGUUAAGUGGUGGCCAGUGUGAGGUGCAGCUGGUGGAGUCUGUAGGAGGCUUAGUGCAGCCCGAAAGGUCCUUAAAACUCUCCUGUGCAGCCUCUGGAUUCACCUUCCAUGAUUAUUACAUGAGCUGGGUCCGCCAGGCUCCAGGGAAAGGCCUGGAAUGGGUCGCAGAUAUCAGUGGUGAUAGUAGUGACAUCGAAAAUGCUGGUGCUGUGAAGGGCCGGUUCACAAUCUCCAGAGACAAUGCCAAGAACACCCUGUACCGGGAAAUGAGCAGUCUGAGAUCUGAGGACACAGCCAUGUAUUACUGCACCGUAUUCAUAUUGAUGUAA